rnacentral:rRNA from 1 species
UGCCAGCCGCCGCGGUAAUACGGAGGGUGCAAGCGUUGUCCGGAUUCACUGGGUGUAAAGGGUGUGUAGGCGGGUCUGUAAGUCAGAGGUGAAAGCCCACAGCUUAACUGUGGAACUGCCUUUGAUACUGCAGAUCUUGAGUCUCGGAGAGGUUGUCGGAAUUCGUGGUGUAGCGGUGAAAUGCGUAGAUAUCACGAGGAACACCAGAGGCGUAGGCGGACAACUGGACGAGUACUGACGCUGAGGCACGAAAGCGUGGGGAGCAAACAGGAUUAGAUA